AAGUAACAUAAAUUUAAGGCUAAAUUACAGAAAACUCCCCUGUAAUAACCCGUUUUUUUACUUCCCCCCCUGACAUUUAAAAACCUACACUUUGCCCCCCUGUAAAAUGAAAAAUGUUCACAGGGGGGUUACGGUGUGUAAAAUGACCAUUUUGCCCCUCGCCAUUGUCGUCUUCUUCCCCAUCUUCCUCAGCCGCCCCUUCGUUCGGCGCGAUUCCCACCUCAAUCGGCCGUGAUUUCUCUCCAUUUUCUUCUCCACCUGCUCCCCUUCUCCUCAUGCACCCUCGCCGCCAUCGAUUUCGGCGAUAGUAGAAGAAACCGAGGUGGGCGACAGUAGGAGAAGAACAAAGAAGGCAAAAGCGAGACGGCGGAGGACGGCGAAGGGGAUGUGGGUGAGGGCGAGGCAGUGGAGGACGGCGAGGCGGCUAGGCGGGGAGGCGGCGAGGCGGCGGCGAGGUGGCGAGCCGAAGGGAGUCGAAGCAACAUGGAGAUGGCGGAGGGGUAUUUUCGGCAUAAAAAUAUAUUUUUUAACAGAACCCUGACGGAACCCUAACGGUAGGGGGUGAAGUGCACAUUUUUUAUUUUACAGGGAGGCAAAGUGUAGAUUUUUAAAUGUCAAAGAGGGAAAGUGAAAAUACGGGUUAUUACAAGGGAAUUUUCUGUAAUUUAGCCUAAAUUUAAUUUACUCUUUUAACACGAACACUAAAUAACCAAAAUAUUCUUCAUAUUAUUAGUUAU
rnacentral:lncRNA from 1 species